rnacentral:rRNA from 1 species
UGGGGAAUUUUGGACAAUGGGCGCAAGCCUGAUCCAGCCAUGCCGCGUGAGUGACGAAGGCCUUAGGGUUGUAAAGCUCUUUUGGCGGGGACGAUAAUGACGGUACCCGCAGAAUAAGCCCCGGCUAACUUCGUGCCAGCAGCCGCGGUAAUACGAAGGGGGCUAGCGUUGUUCGGAAUUACUGGGCGUAAAGCGCACGUAGGCGGACUUUCAAGUCAGGGGUGAAAUCCCGGGGCUCAACCUCGGAACUGCCUCUGAUACUGUUGGUCUUGAAUCCGGUAGAGGUGGGUGGAAUUCCUAGUGUAGAGGUGAAAUUCGCAGAUAUUAGGAAGAACACCGGUGGCGAAGGCGGCCCACUGGACCGGUAUUGACGCUGAGGUGCGAAAGCGUGGGGAGCAAACAGGAUUAGAUACCCAAGUAGUCCCUGAGCGGGCUGGCAAGGCGCAU